CUUUUUUUUGAAAAAAAAAAAUUUAAUUGGCAGCUACAUUUUACUACUUUACCCAACAACAUAUCAUAUUAUAUUAUAAGAGACACCACCAAAUACAAUUGAAUAAAAUGACAUAGAACUUUUCAUUACCAUCUAUUCUACAAAGUAUACAACACUCCAUAAUACAUUCAAUUGUGCAUAAACAUGGAAAAUAAAAUCAACUGUCUAUGGAUUCCUAUUGUUUUUUUGAGCCGAGGGUCUCCUGGAAACAGCCUCUCUACCCUUCGGGGUAGGGGUAAGGUCUGCGUACAUAUUAUCCUCCCCAGACCCCACUUGUGGGAUUAUACUGGGUUGUUGUUGUUGUUGUCUAUGGAUUCCUCCUUGGCCAACAUCAUUUUCCUUUUCGACGAACGUUUGUCCCUGCAAUUUAAAGAACAAAAAUGCCAACGAUCAUUUUGAUAACCCUCAUAACAGAAAGCAACUUUUUCUUUAUAAUAUGUGAAGUACUUAUCAAAUCCAACUAAGGUUCAUAUCAGCUUGUACACAAGAUAGACUUAUGAAAUGAACUCAGUAACUACUACUGCCGACACCAAUAAACCUUCAUCUCUGCCUUAAGUAUUAUCCUUUUAUGGCAUCUUAAUUAAUCCAAAACUGAUUGAUAUUAAGGUCUUGGGUACUGCCCUAAGCAUUCUCAAAUUUGUGACUUCUAAUGAAAUUGGAAACAUCUCUCAGCAAACUAGCAGAACCUCCAAAUAAAUCACGGUAUUCCAUAUUGUUGAAAGUUCAGAGAAAAAUUCAAUGCGUUGAGCAUAAUGUAUUGUACAACUUAUAAAGCAAGGAAUAAUAUUAAAAUGGCAAAGGGAUAUAUACCUGGACAAGUAGUUUAGAUCACCUGGGACGAGCAGUGCUAGGCUGAAUUUAGGAGUGACUCCUUUUGGCCGUCCCUGAAAUUUCAAUCAGCAAGAUAAACUAAGAGUUGACAUAUCUUCAUUAAUUUAGCAAAAUGUGGAAGAAGAGAGUAAACAUCAAGAAAGUUACAAUGCCUUCUAAAAGGCUAUUACUAGAAUUUUACUAAAUUCUUGAUAAACUAACUAUCCAUAUACACAUGAUUUUCUAUGACAGUGGCAGGAGAUAAAUAGGUAGAAUUACAAUUCCAAGUUGAUGUUGCAAUUUUAUAUUUUUUUUUAAAGACACAAGUUUCUUAUGACCUUUUAAUGAAUCAUACGUUGCAAUCUUCUAAGAGUUUGAAAUAAAUAGAGAGAUUAUCAAAUUAACAUAUCAAUUAUCAAUCGUACGAUAAAUAUAAUGCACAACUCACAUUUGCAAAAUCUAUUAGCAACAUAUCAGAUGAGAUUUUUAAACUUGUAUUUGACCAUGAAGAGCAUUGCCAGAUAUUGCUGCUUCAUGCAGUACUAACGUGUGCCCAUCUACACUUGAAUCAAACCUUCUUUAGAUAUUAACUAGUACAUAAAUGUAGCUUGUAGUAAUUGAUUACCUUGCUAUAAAGGAGAAACUAGUUUAUGUAAUCUUGACAGAUAACUUCUGGAUUCUCCUCACAGACACCUACAACAUAAGUAAAAGUUCACCCUUUUUAGAGCUAGUAACUUUAUUUGGUAUUUACAGGAUGUGCGCAUACCAUGGCAUCAAUUAUUAUAGGAAAAAAGAGUUACCCUUUAUCUUUGAAUGUCAUGUUGGUAAGUAAAUGCUCUUGAAAGCCCCUCUAAGUUAGAAUUUGAUUGUAAUUUGAAGCUCUAUAUCACGUAAUACUAAGCAAAUUUUGAUUUUGAGUCCAAGAAGCAUGAUAUUAGAAGAGAAAUAAUCAUAAAUAGUUAAAGUAACCACACUUCAGCUCUCUUUUACUAUCGAGUUGCCUUGGUAGCAGUGACAUCUGAAUCUCCUCUAUCUGAUUCAUACAGAAUAGUAAGAAGGUAUUAAGAGCUCACACACCUUAUACUCAAUCACCAUUCUCAUGUUGACGGACUCCGAUUUAACCUUAAAUUACAUUUGCAGAGACUGAUUUAUUCAGUUCUCACUCAAUAGAAGCACAAAUUAGCGGUAGAGAAGAUACUUAAAUCUAUUGUACAGAGGAUGUUUCACGGAAUAUGGAUUUCCCUUUCAAAACUUAAGACUACAAGGAGAUUUAUUUACAAUCAUUUAUAAAGGGACAAUUACCAAACUGAAAGGCAUACAACUGAGUGGACAAUCAAUGUGAAUUGUAUGCAGGUCCGAGUCUAUAAUUAUUUAUCAGUAAAAUCCAGAUUAUUUUUAAUACUAAACAGAUAUGUGCAUCUGAUAAAGAGUGCUUUUAUCUUUUGAAAAGAUAAUAAAUAUAAAAGUGGUACCAAGAUCAGUUAACAAAGCAAGCUCUUGCAAAUUCUAAUUAGAGAACUUUGCUAUAUGCCCAAAAUUAAAACAUGAAAUGCCUUAAUUUACCAAAAAGCAAGUCAAAUUCAAAUAACCAACACACAUCGAAAAAGUACAAUCACAUCCACAAGAGAAAUAACACUUCUCCAAUUAAUUGCAAAAAUUUAAGCAAUCAAAUAAAAAAAAAAUACUUAAGACUGACUAUAUAGCAGUCGAGCCAACGAAUCUUAUCCACUAUCCGCCCCAUUUCUGGCCAAAUCCCAGCCUUGUCGUUGUAAGGGGAUAUGGUAGUAGCAUCGUGAAAGGGGUAGGGAAGACGGAAAGAUUAAAAGGAGUCGUUGGAUUUGGAUUAGUGAUUUAUAAGUCGAAAAGACGAAAUCGCCGGUCGAAGUCGCUAAACUGGAUGAAUUUGGGGAAGGGGAAGAUAGGGUUUACGGGGAGGUUUGGGGAAGAAUGUAAUAAUCCUAUAAUUCAUCUAUAAUUUAUUGUAUUUAUUUUUACAUUAUAUAAAUCAUAAUAAGUUUAUUUUUUUUAAUAACAAACAUUCAAGAGAGUAAUUGCUUAUUCAGACCACUUAAUAUUUAUAAUGUGAAUUCUAAUCAAUUAGUAGUACAUUUACCAUAAAAGCAUUACCUUUCGUGGCGAGUUAGUCGCCACAAAACCCUUGUGUUAUUGGAAACAAAAAUUUAGUUGCGACUCAUGUAAAAUCGCCACCAAUACAAUCCCUUUGGUAGCAACUAUUUUUUGUCGCCACAGAAACUUUCAUUUUUUUAGCGAUUUUACGGGUUGCCACUACAAA
rnacentral:lncRNA from 1 species